UGGGGCGUUGUCUAAUCUGGCAGGACACAGGACUUUGGAUCCUGUCGUGAAGGUUCGAAUCCUUCCGCCCCAG
rnacentral:tRNA from 1 species